UACAGAGGGUGCAAGCGUUAAUCGGAAUUACUGGGCGUAAAGCGCGCGUAGGCGGUUCGUUAAGUUGGAUGUGAAAUCCCCGGGCUCAACCUGGGAACUGCAUUCAAAACUGUCGAGCUAGAGUAUGGUAGAGGGUGGUGGAAUUUCCUGUGUAGCGGUGAAAUGCGUAGAUAUAGGAAGGAACACCAGUGGCGAAGGCGACCACCUGGACUGAUACUGACACUGAGGUGCGAAAGCGUGGGGAGCAAACAGG
rnacentral:rRNA from 1 species